rnacentral:lncRNA from 1 species
AGGGGGUUGACUCCACGUGACCCCAAGGUCAGGGGUUCAACCCCCAACGUGUGCAUUUGUUCCUUUUUUAUUUCUUUUUCUUUGAUUUUAUGAUUUUCACCCCAUUUUUUUCCAUUUUAAAUUAUUUAUUUCACCACUUAUUUUAAUCUUUCUGAAAUUAUUUCCAACACAAACUCAUGUUAUUUUUUCCUUUAUUAUUUUAUUAUUUUUAUUUCAUUUCAUUUGAGUAAUUUUUUAUGGACUUGUGAUGUCUUGAACAUUGAUAGCUAAGGAAGUCUAUUAGGUCAUGAUUUUGGUUUGAUUAGGG